UUGGGAAUAUUGGGCAAUGGGCGAAAGCCUGACCCAGCGACACCGCGUGGGGGACGAAGGCCUUCGGGUCGUAAACCCCUGUCAGGGGGGACGAAGCCUGCCGCAAGGCAGGUGACGGUACUCCCAGAGGAAGCCCCGGCUAACUACGUGCCAGCAGCCGCGGUAAGACGUAGGGGGCGAGCGUUGUCCGGAUUUACUGGGCGUAAAGCGCGUGCAGGCGGUCCGUUAAGUCUCGUGUGAAAUCCUCCGGCCCAACCGGAGAACGCCGCGGGAUACUGGCGGGCUUGAGGGCGGUAGAGGGUGAUGGAAUUCCCGGUGGAGCGGUGAAAUGCGUAGAUAUCGGGAGGAACGCCAGUGGCGAAGGCGGUCACCUGGGCCGUCCCUGACGCUGAGACGCGAAAGCUGGGGGAGCGAACGGG
rnacentral:rRNA from 1 species